CCAGACUCCUACGGGAGGCAGCAGUGGGGAAUAUUGGACAAUGGGCGGAAGCCUGAUCCAGCCAUGCCGCGUGUGUGAAGAAGGCCUUAUGGUUGUAAAGCACUUUAAGCGAGGAGGAGGCUACUUUAGUUAAUACCUAGAGAUAGUGGACGUUACUCGCAGAAUAAGCACCGGCUAACUCUGUGCCAGCAGCCGCGGUAAUACAGAGGGUGCAAGCGUUAAUCGGAUUUACUGGGCGUAAAGCGCGCGUAGGCGGCUAAUUAAGACGAAUGUGAAAUCCCCGAGCUUAACUUGGGAAUUGCAUUCGAUACUGGUUAGCUAGAGUGUGGGAGAGGAUGGUAGAAUUCCAGGUGUAGCGGUGAAAUGCGUAGAGAUCUGAAGGAAUACCGAUGGCGAAGGCAGCCAUCUGGCCUAACACUGACGCUGAGGUGCGAAAGCAUGGGGAGCAAACAGGAUUAGAUACCCUGGUAGUCCAUGCCGUAAACGAUGUCUACUAGCCGUUGGGGCCUUUGAGGCUUUAGUGGCGCAGCUAACGCGAUAAGUAGACCGCCUGGGGAGUACGGUCGCAAGACUAAAACUCAAAUGAAUUGACGGGGGCCCGCACAAGCGGUGGAGCAUGUGGUUUAAUUCGAUGCAACGCGAAGAACCUUACCUGGCCUUGACAUAGUAAGAACUUUCCAGAGAUGGAUUGGUGCCUUCGGGAACUUACAUACAGGUGCUGCAUGGCUGUCGUCAGCUCGUGUCGUGAGAUGUUGGGUUAAGUCCCGCAACGAGCGCAACCCUUUUCCUUAUUUGCCAGCGAGUAAUGUCGGGAACUUUAAGGAUACUGCCAGUGACAAACUGGAGGAAGGCGGGGACGACGUCAAGUCAUCAUGGCCCUUACGGCCAGGGCUACACACGUGCUACAAUGGUCGGUACAAAGGGUUGCUACCUAGCGAUAGGAUGCUAAUCUCAAAAAGCCGAUCGUAGUCCGGAUUGGAGUCUGCAACUCGACUCCAUGAAGUCGGAAUCGCUAGUAAUCGCGGAUCAGAAUGCCGCGGUGAAUACGUUCCCGGGCCUUGUAC
rnacentral:rRNA from 1 species